rnacentral:rRNA from 1 species
CAGUAGCCGCGGGAAUACGUAGGGUGCAAGCGUUAAUCGGAAUUACUGGGCGUAAAGCGUGCGCAGGCGGUUAUAUAAGACAGAUGUGAAAUCCCCGGGCUCAACCUGGGAACUGCAUUUGUGACUGUAUAGCUAGAGUCCGGCAGAGGGGGAUGGAAUUCCGCGUGUAGCAGUGAAAUGCGUAGAUAUGCGGAGGAACACCGAUGGCGAAGGCAAUCCCCUGGGCCUGUACUGACGCUCAUGCACGAAAGCGUGGGGAGCAAACAGGAUUAGAUACCCGGGUAGUCCCUGUCUCUUAUAC